AAGGCUGGUUGUAGCUCUGGGGAUGCUUUUUUUUCCGGUUAAACUUAGGGUUUUAUUUUUGGCAAAAUUGCGUGUUUGGCUGAUCUUAAAAAAAAAAAAAGAAAAAAAGAUAAUAAUUAGAAGGCGGUAUAAUUGUGUUCGUGCAAAGAUGUGCAUGUGUUCGCAUUUGCGUAUUAAGUGCUGCUGUGUGCUGUCUGUAUUGUAGUACAUAAAUCUAGUAGCAGGUACUACAUAAAUGUAGUAAUUCAAAUGGUGUUAUGCACACAGGAACACAUGGAGUUCACCCCAUGUGUACAGCACAGAGGUUGGAAUCCAGCUUUAACUCAAAGAUUAUUUUGCAAUGUUACAGGAAAUAUUCUUCAUUCAUUCAGAUUGUAUCAGCAGGAAAUCCAAGCAUAUUAAUGAAUAAUUAAUGGAAAUGAAGCAGUUGGAACAGAUUAAUAUUUGGCAAUAAACUAUUAAAGAAACCUGGGAUCAACAGGAAUUAAGGUAUAAAGCAGAAUACCAACCCAAGAACCUGCACAAUGGGGCCAGGUUUUGCUAGCAGUGGGACUACAGUGGUGCCUGUGAGAAGAUGCCAGAAGCUUCCUUCGCAUCUGGUGGAACUAAUUCAGGCUCCAGGACAGACCUGCUGCUGUCCAAGGCUGAGCCCAUCAGAGAUAAUACCUGAAGUAAUUGUGUCCAGGGAAGAGAGAAGUGGAAAUAUGUGAAGUGACAGCCCUGCAGAUACCAAGGUCAGUGCAGAUGAGGGGCAGGAGGUGCUGCAGGUGCCAGAGCUGAGAUUCCCCACAGCCCCUGGUGCCGUCCAUGGUGAGGCAGCUGUGCUCCUGCAGCCCAUGGAAGUUCACAGACAUGCAGAGAUCCAUCCUCAGCCUGAGGACACCUGUGCCAGAGCAGGUCGUUGCCUGUGGUAAAUAGGUAUGAUUCGUGCUGAUAAAAAUUGAAACAAUAAUUAAUAUUGAUACAGUAAUUAAUAUUUGAAAAUAAUAAAAUAGUUAAUAGUUAAAAGUUGUAAUGCCAAAGAAGAGAGGGAAAGGAGGAGCUCUACUCACUCUCCUUUCUCAGCAGAUGUUCUCAAGGACUACAAGAAAGAAGCUGAAGAUACAGUUGCUAAAAAUGACUAAGUACCUGGUUGGGUCUAAGAAAAUGCUAAUUAUAAAAGACUUAUUGCUUUGAUAUGUAAAUACAGUGAUACAUUAGUUUUAGCUUAUAUUGUACUGGCUUGGUGCGCAUGUGUAACCCAAAAAUGAAUUAAAAGACAACGAAGAAGACUACAGGGCCUUCAUCAGUGACAACCCUCAAAGACUUGUGCGACUACUAAACUGAGUAGUAGAGAAUGUGUAGUAAAAGUAGUAAUGAAAGCAGAGACAGAAAAGUGACAAACUGAAAAUAGAAAGAGAUAGCCUUCACACAUAGCAUAUAAAGAGUAACUUUUAUUUAGCAAGCUUGUACAUGAAGUGGCAAGAGUCAAGAACCCUGCCUUCCGUACCCCGCGGUUGUUUUUGCUUAUGCGCUAUUAUUUGAACCAAAUUAUCCCUUAUUUAUAUAUUUUCUAAACUAUUCAAUUAAAAUUGUUGCUACCUUA